rnacentral:lncRNA from 1 species
ACUUUAAACAUUAAAAUAACUAAGGAAACACGACAUAAAUGCACAAGAACAAGGCAACUAAGUCGCAUAAAUAUGCUCCUAUCAAAUUCCCCCACACUUAGCUUUUGCUAGUCCUCGAGCAAAACAAAGUGAUAAAACGAAACAAAGUAAAUAAAACACAACCUAAACCUUCCAACAUUUGCCUCAGGGAUUUCCAAUGCACAUGACAUGUUAAAAAUUAUUAUCCCCACAGAUUUGAGUCAUCUUCACACUUAAGCACGAACUUAAUCAUAGUCACCACUUACUUGUUCACAAUUAAUCGAUUAAAAUAAUGUUUUUGAUGUAGUAACAUGCCUUAGAGAAAUCACUCAAUUCCUUACAAGAUAUGCACUCAAUUUUCACUCAGAUUUUCUAACUACACAUCCUAUACUAGUUAUAUGUGAGAAGAUUGAUGUAGAUAUGAAAACGAACGCUCACAUAUAUGUAUCACAAAGAAAGCAAUUUCUGGAGUUAAUAAGCAUGUUUAGAUAUGAUCUCAUGAAUGGAAUGCUACUACUUAGAUGCGAGAACCAGUGACACCAUAUGCUCAUAUCAAUUUCAAACUCCACAUAUUGAAACGCAUGAACUCAAGAUGAAGUUAAGGGUUGUAACGGGGCUUGGGGUGAUGGCUAACAAAUGAAGGAUAAGGAUAACAAUCGUUCUUAAAGCAAUAGCAAAUAAAGUAAUGAAAUUGAAACUUAGAAUUCACUUAGAUUGCAGAAAUCAGCUUUUAGACACGAAGGGAAAAUUCAAGCAAUAUUUAGGGCCGAAUUCUAUGUUUUGGACCCUUUCUUCAACAAGCAGCACUUUAAAACUCUUUUUCACAUAUUUUUCAACUCCUUUUUUUUUUUUUUUUUUUUUUUUUUCUCAACUCUUCUUUUCUUUUCAACAAGCAUAAUAACUCACGCUUCCCCCACACUUGUUUUCUGCCAUACAUUAAUCAAAAGAAAUUCAAUUUGAAUCAUGCUUUACUAUGCUUCA